UGUCCGGGUGGCUCAGUGGUCAGAGUAUCUACCUACUAAGCAGAAGACCCGGGUUCGAAUCCUGGUCCGACAC